AUCCUUUUGUGGUUCAUAAGCAUGAUGAUUUGGUUUUCAUGCUCAUGUGUGAGAUGUGUUGCCUUGAACCUUGUUACAGUGUCAGCAUGUCACUCAUCUGAUG
ensembl:snoRNA